GGGGAUGUAGCUCAGUUGGGAGAGCGCCGCCUUUGCAAGGCGGAGGGCAGGGGUUCGAGCCCCCUCAUCUCCA
rnacentral:tRNA from 1 species